UUGCNCCUGAUUGAUUUUGGUCGCCAACGAGUGGCGGACGGGUGAGUAACACGUAGGUAACCUGCCCAGAAGCGGGGGACAACAUUUGGAAACAGAUGCUAAUACCGCAUAACAACGUUGUUCGCAUGAACAACGCUUAAAAGAUGGCUUCUCGCUAUCACUUCUGGAUGGACCUGCGGUGCAUUAGCUUGUUGGUGGGGUAAUGGCCUACCAAGGCGAUGAUGCAUAGCCGAGUUGAGAGACUGAUCGGCCACAAUGGGACUGAGACACGGCCCAUACUCCUACGGGAGGCAGCAGUAGGGAAUCUUCCACAAUGGGCGCAAGCCUGAUGGAGCAACACCGCGUGAGUGAAGAAGGGUUUCGGCUCGUAAAGCUCUGUUGUUAAAGAAGAACACGUAUGAGAGUAACUGUUCAUACGUUGACGGUAUUUAACCAGAAAGUCACGGCUAACUACGUGCCAGCAGCCGCGGUAAUACGUAGGUGGCAAGCGUUAUCCGGAUUUAUUGGGCGUAAAGAGAGUGCAGGCGGUUUUCUAAGUCUGAUGUGAAAGCCUUCGGCUUAACCGGAGAAGUGCAUCGGAAACUGGAUAACUUGAGUGCAGAAGAGGGUAGUGGAACUCCAUGUGUAGCGGUGGAAUGCGUAGAUAUAUGGAAGAACACCAGUGGCGAAGGCGGCUACCUGGUCUGCAACUGACGCUGAGACUCGAAAGCAUGGGUAGCGAACAGGAUUAGAUACCCUGGUAGUCCAUGCCGUAAACGAUGAAGUGCUAAGGNGUUGGNAGGGUUUCCGCCCUUCAGUGNCGGAGCUAACGCAUUAAGCACUCCCGCCUGGGGAGUACGACGCAGGUGAUC
rnacentral:rRNA from 2 species